rnacentral:rRNA from 1 species
AUUGAACGCUGGCGGCAUGCCUUACACAUGCAAGUCGAACGGCAGCGGGGGAGAAGCUUGCUUUUCCUGCCGGCGAGUGGCGAACGGGUGAGUAAUACAUCGGAACGUGCCCUGUAGUGGGGGAUAACUAGUCGAAAGAUUAGCUAAUACCGCAUACGACCUGAGGGUGAAAGUGGGGGACCGCAAGGCCUUCUGCUAUAGGAGCGGCCGAUGUCUGAUUAGCUAGUUGGUGGGGUAAAGGCCUACGAAGGCGACGAUCAGUAGCUGGUCUGAGAGGACGAUCAGCCACACUGGGACUGAGACACGGCCCAGACUCCUACGGGAGGCAGCAGUGGGGAAUUUUGGACAAUGGGCGAAAGCCUGAUCCAGCAAUGCCGCGUGUGUGAAGAAGGCCUUCGGGUUGUAAAGCACUUUUGUCCGGAAAGAAAUGGCUCUGGUUAAUACCUGGGGUCGAUGACGGUACCGGAAGAAUAAGGACCGGCUAACUACGUGCCAGCCGCCGCAGUAAGAC